AAGAGACAGCAGUAGCCGCGGUAAUACAGAGGGUGCGAGCGUUAAUCGGAUUUACUGGGCGUAAAGCGUGCGUAGGCGGCUUUUUAAGUCGGAUGUGAAAUCCCUGAGCUUAACUUAGGAAUUGCAUUCGAUACUGGGAAGCUAGAGUAUGGGAGAGGAUGGUAGAAUUCCAGGUGUAGCGGUGAAAUGCGUAGAGAUCUGGAGGAAUACCGAUGGCGAAGGCAGCCAUCUGGCCUAAUACUGACGCUGAGGUACGAAAGCAUGGGGAGCAAACAGGAUUAGAUACCCGAGUAGUCCCUGUCUCUUAUAC
rnacentral:rRNA from 1 species